rnacentral:rRNA from 1 species
CGKGAAACCCGAGGCUCAACUCGGGCGKGCGGUGGGUACGGGCAGGCUARAGUGUGGUAGGGAGACUGGAACUCUGGUGUAGCGGUGAAAUGCGCAGAUAUCAGGAAGAACACGAUGGCGAAGGCAGGUCUCUGGGCCAUUACUGACACUGAGAAGCGAAAGCAUGGGUAGCGAACAGGAUUAGAUACCCUGGUAGUCCAUGCCGUAAACGUUGGGCACUAGGUGUGGGGGACAUUCCACGUUUUCCGCGCCGUAGCUAACGCAUUAAGUGCCCCGCCUGGGGAGUACGGCCGCAAGGCUAAAACUCAAAGGAAUUGACGGGGGCCCGCACAAGCGGCGGAGCAUGCUGAUUAAUUCGAUGCAACGCGAAGAACCUUACCAAGGCUUGACAUGCACUGGACGGCUGCAGAGAUGUGGCUUUCUUYGGACURRWRCACAGGUGGUGCAUGGUUGUCGUCAGCUCGUGUCGUGAGAUGUUGGGUUAAGUCCCGCAACGAGCGCAACCCUUGUUCUAUGUUGCCAGCACGUGAUGGUGGGGACUCAUAGGAGACUGCCGGGGUCAACUCGGAGGAAGGUGGGGACGACGUCAAAUCAUCAUGCCCCUUAUGUCUUGGGCUUCAAGCAUGCUACAAUGGUCGGUACAAUGGGUUGCGAAACUGUGAGGUGGAGCGAAUCCCAAAAAGCCGGCCUCAGUUCGGAUUGGGGUCUGCAACUCGACCCCAUGAAGUCGGAGUCGCUAGUAAUSGCAGAUCAGCAACGYUGCGGUGAAUACGUUCCCGGCCUGAGUUUGAUCCUGCCUCCGAUGAAAUU